rnacentral:rRNA from 1 species
UACGGAGGGUGCAAGCGUUGUUCGGAAUCGCUGGGCGUAAAGGGCGUGUAGGCGGUCCGCUAAGUCUGAUGUGAAAGCCCGGGGCUCACCCCCGGAAGGGCAUUGGAAACUGGCGGACUCGAGUCCCGGAGAGGAAGGUGGAAUUCCUGGUGUAGCGGUGAAAUGCGUAGAUAUCGGGAGGAAUACCGGUGGCGAAGGCGGCCUUCUGGACGGUGACUGACGCUGAGACGCGAAAGCGUGGGGAGCAAACAGG